AGUUUCCUUGUGAUUCAUAAUGUGCAAGAUAAUAGGGGUUGUACAGUGAAUUACAAAACAUGUCGACGUGAGAUGACUCCACGUAUGUGCAAUGACUUUACUUGUAACCCGGAGCAAUUUAACUCAGUCGUGAAUCAUGAGCGUUUAAUCACAGUAACACACCUACAAUUAUAGAGGUCAAAGUCUCUCUUCGUGAGGAAGAAAUACCUUCAUCCACUCUAAAUCUGAAAUGUCUUUAUUGGGAACGUCAGCGAAGUCAUACUUUAUUCAAGAAAUCUGCCAGUUUGACAAUAAUAGCGAAUUGUCAUUGAGCACAGAAACAGGAUGCUUUCAUACAGAGGAAAGAUAAAUUCGGAACAAGUUGUCUUUCUUUACUUCUGACAAUCAGGACUAGUAUCUGAGCCGGAAGUAUAAGCUAAACAGGACAGGCUUUCCAUUUGAAAACAAUAAUUGCAUUCCUUCCUACUGUCCACACUGGGAUAGUCUCGAUUUAGGACCUCUGACGAGAAACCUGA